UUCUCAAAUAUCGUCACUAUUUAUCUACCCAUCUAAUUUUAGUGACGAUAUUCACGAAUAUGAGGAUAUUCGCGAAUGUUCACAUAUUCUCAUAUUCGGUACAGUAAAUAGUAUAGGAGGCUUCUUUAGACCACAAGCUGGAAGCAAGGAGGGAUGAGAUCACUGUGAUGUGUUCUGUGUGAAAAAAAAAUUAUGAACAUUCGUCAUUAUGAAUAGAUAGCGCUAUAUUCGCGAAUAUGCAAAAUUUGUGAUAAAUAUUCAAAAUGGCGAAUAUUCAAGCUCAACACUACAAACAACUAUAAAUGCUGAUUGGAUUUAGUGUAACACAUUAUGCUUUUAUGUGCCCAUAUUGUUAAAAAAUGACAGCCCAAAAUUAAUACUUGGACAAACCAUGUGUGGUGCAGCGGGAAAGCAAUUAUUCUGUAAAACAUUGCUGAUUUCAGGAAGCUAAGGUAUAAAAUGACUGACACUGUAGCAAUGCAGUAUAAAUCAUCUGACUUAUUUACAUCCAAUGAGGCAUGAUUCAGUGGGAAGAUUGAAUGUGCAUAAAAAUGUGACCACAUGAAAUACAAACAAAACAGAAUGAUAUACUGCAUAAGAAUAGCUUAUAUCAUAUAAGACUGCAAAAUGUACAAAAAGGCUGUAUUGUUAAAUAGAAACUGACAGGCUAUUCAUCCUCACUAAACAAAUAUACUGGGUUAUAGUGAACAGUUUUAAAAAAAAAUCAUCACUUACUUUAAUCUGUUGAGUAUUUGUAGGUGCCAUCGCCUUCUGGGUGUAGCGAGGCAGCGGCUCCUGUGCUCUGCUCAGUGACGAGGUGGUGCUCUAUGCAAGAUUUCUGUCAGAGGAGUGAAGAGAAAAAUGAGAAGAGUUGUCCAAGAACCAAGGACCACUUGUGGAGACAUUCAAAAAGACCUGGAAUUAGCAGGUUGCAGUGCGACCCGAGACAUUACAUCACUUGUCAGGCAUACAAAGGAGCCUGUCUGCUUCAAUGGGUUGAGCGACCGCCAGGUAGGGGAAAGAUCAUUCUCCAAAGGACUGCAGGAAAUUGUCCCAGGUGUGUUUCAAUGGGUGCCGUGGUUGAUGUGUGGGAGGAUGAAAAGUGACCUCCCACUUACAAACAAGGGACCCUGGGACUUGUAGUUGAAGGGAACUCCAACAUAAAAAUAGGCCUUUCACGAAAAGAAAGCAGCAGCAUUGUGGUGGACUCACAACACAGCCAUUUAGCACCAGGACAAGCACAGACCCUUCCUAAGCAUGUCCAUUAGUGUCUGACAGGUUAGUACUAAAAUUACCUUACGGUGGAUAACCCCUUUAACAGACAUGUGGAUUGGGAUUAUCUAACAUCAGCAAAAUGACCUUGUGUUGAUCUGGUGACUGACAUUUCA